CCUACGGGAGGCAGCAGUGGGGAAUAUUGCACAAUGGGCGCAAGCCUGAUGCAGCCAUGCCGCGUGUGUGAAGAAGGCCUUCGGGUUGUAAAGCACUUUCAGCGGGGAGGAAGGCGGUGAGGUUAAUAACCUCAUCGAUUGACGUUACCCGCAGAAGAAGCACCGGCUAACUCCGUGCCAGCAGCCGCGGUAAUACGGAGGGUGCAAGCGUUAAUCGGAAUUACUGGGCGUAAAGCGCACGCAGGCGGUCUGUCAGGUCGGAUGUGAAAUCCCCGGGCUCAACCUGGGAACUGCAUUCGAAACUGGCAGGCUAGAGUCUUGUAGAGGGGGGUAGAAUUCCAGGUGUAGCGGUGAAAUGCGUAGAGAUCUGGAGGAAUACCGGUGGCGAAGGCGGCCCCCUGGACAAAGACUGACGCUCAGGUGCGAAAGCGUGGGGAGCAAACAGGAUUAGAUACCCUUGUAGUC
rnacentral:rRNA from 1 species